ACCACAACGGGUGGAGCCUGCGGUUUAAUUGGAUUCAACGCCGGGAAACUCACCGGGACCGACAGCUGAAUGAUAGUCGGGCUGAAGACUCUACUUGAUUAGAUGAGAGGAGGUGCAUGGCCGUCGUCAGUUCGUACUGUGAAGCAUCCUGUUAAGUCAGGCAACGAGCGAGACCCACGCCAACAGUUGCUAGCUCGUCCUCCGGGAUGGAGAGGACACUGUUGGGACCGCCUCUGCUAAAGAGGAGGAAGGAAUGGGCAACGGUAGGUCAGCAUGCCCCGAAUUGUCCGGGCUACACGCGGGCUACAAUGGGUGGGACAAUGGGUAUCGACACCGAAAGGUGAAGGCAAUCUCCUAAACCCAUCCUUAGUUCGGAUUGUGGGCUGCAACUCGCCCACAUGAAGCUGGAAUCCGUAGU
rnacentral:rRNA from 1 species